rnacentral:rRNA from 1 species
UUCCAGCUCCGAUAGCAUAUACUAAUGUUGUUGCGGUUAAAAAGCUCGUAGUCUGAGUUGUGUCCCGCGCUGCCGGUCCACAGACUGUCUGUGCUGACUGCGCACGUCGCGAGGACGUCCUGGCCGGACGCGGUGUAACCGAAGUGCCGUCCGUUGCAUAGGUUCGCCCUGUGCACGGCGGUUCCUAGGCGAGCCGCAAUUGAGGUCCCGACCUGGUGCUCUUAAUCGAGUGCCUAGGAGGGCCGGCACUCUUACUUUGAACAAACUCGAGUGCUCAAAGCUGGCCUUCUGGCCUAGACGCUGUGUGCAUGGAAUAAUGGAAUAGGACUUCGGUUCUAUUUGGUUGGUUCUACGGAUCGAAGUAAUGAUCAAAAGGAGCAGGCGGGGGCAUUCGUACUGCGACGUUAGAGGUGAAAUUCUUAGAUCGUCGCAAGACGGACAUAAGCGAAAGCAUUUGCCAAGGAUGUUUUCACUGAUCAAGAGCGAAAGUUGGAGGAUCGAAGGCGAUCAGAUACCGCCCUAGUUCUAACUAUAAAUGAUGCCAGCCAGCUAUGCGCCGAAGUCGCUUUUGACUCGGUGCGAAGCUUCCGGGAAACCAGAGCUUUCAGGUUCCGGGGGAAGUAUGGUUGCAAAGCUGAAACUUAAAGGAAUUGACGGAAGGGCACCACCAGGAGUGGAGCCUGCGGCUUAAUUUGACUCAACACGGGAAAACUUACCAGGGCAGGACAUAAGCAGGAUUGACAGAUUGAAGAUCUUUCUUGAUUUUGUGGAUGGUGGUGCAUGGCCGUUCUUAGUUCGUGGAAUGGUUCGUCUGGUUAAUUCCGAUAACGGACAAGACUCUAACCUGCUAAAUAGUCCAAAUUGAGAUCCCUUCGGGGCUAUCUGAGAUAAAACCUUCUUAGAGGAAACAGCGGCUCCGAGUCGCAUGAUAUAGAGCAAUAACAGGUCUGUAAUGCCCUUAGAUGUCCUGGGCCGCACGCGUGCUACAAUGAAGGAAGCAGCGUGAGAAAUCCUAGGCCGAGAGGUCCGGGUAAUCAGCUCAAACUCUUUCAUGCAGGGGAUAGGGGCUUGCAAUUGACCCCUUGAACAAGGAAUUCCCAGUAGGCGCGAGUCAAGAGCUCGCGUCGAUCGAGUCCCUGCCCUUUGUACACACCGCCCGUCGCUACUUCCGAUUGAAUGGUCUAGUGAGGUCUCCGGACCGAUGCUACAGGUUCAAAAGAUCUUAGCUUUGGGAGGCUGACCAAACUUGCUCGUUUAGAGGAAGUAAAAGUCGUAACAAGGUUUCCGUAGGUG